rnacentral:lncRNA from 1 species
CUUCACAAAUAUCGUGGAAUGGCUCUUCAAUAUCUCCAUAAAGGUAUCAUCGCUAUCAUAUUAUCAUGCUUAUAAUUAUAGCAAGAUACAUUUAUGCAUAAAUUGCACUGAGGAAGUGGUACCUCAAGAUCAAGAAUUGUAGAUGCUUAAAGCAACUUAAAUCCUUCAUGGAUUGUCAUAUAAGUUAAGUCAUAUAAGCCAUAAUAAAGACUUUAUAUGCAUAUCAAGUUUUUUUUAUGUCAUGCUAGACAUAGAAGAUAUCGAAAACUGAUUGCACAUACCAUUGACUUUAUAUUUUCAAAUAUUUGAACUAUAUGUCCAAUAUUACAUGUCUUUCAUAUAGAAUCAAUUCUACUUGAAUUGUAUCUCUUCCAUUUGGCCAAUAU